GCUGAGAUGGCCCAGUGGUUAAGGUGAUGGACUGCUAAUCUGUUAUGCUCUGCAUGCAUGGGUUCAAAUCUCAUUUUCAGUG